CAUGUGACGAAUUGGACGAAAGUAAUAAAUUCCUGUGUGAUGACAAUUCGUGCAUUUCGAAAGCAUUCAAAUGUGAUGGUGAGGUGAAUUGUCCGAGUGGUGAAGAUGAAAAUCCACAAGAAUGUGAAUGCAACGAGAAUGAGUUUACAUGUGACGAUGGUUCAUGCAUUGACAAAGAAAGUUUGUGCAAUGGAAUAAGAGACUGUGCGGAUGAUGAGGAUGAGGAUCCAGUCAAUUGUCCAUCCGAACCAUAUUUGUCCACAACAACUGAAGAAUCCAUUGAAGAGCCUGAAUAUACUACGCCAAUACCGACCACGGAAUAUCCCGAUAUAACAACUGAAGAUUGAAAUCUAUUUCGAUGCGAAAACAACGUAUCGAUUCCAAUUGAAAAGAAAUGUGAUGGCAUUUAUCAUUGUCGCUUUACAAAACCGUUUAACCCAUCCGAUCUUAGCGAUGAGAAAAAUUGCCGUAAGUUUCAAUGAUUGUUUCGUACAAACUCUCAAACGAUUUAUCGACGAUAUUUUAAAAAUCGACGCGUUUUGUUUUUCACCUUGGAUCACUUUGGGAAAUAUGCGAAAUUGAUUGAAACAUGAAGUCAAUUUAUUUUCACGUUUCAAUAUGACAAUUGGUUGAAUACCAACUCAAUCGUUGAAUAC